CGUUGCCUCGCGCCGUGCGGGCUGCGGCAACCGUCCGCCGUCGGCGCGGCUUGGGCGGUUGUCUUGGAGAAGCAGGAUGGCGGCGACGGCUGCCGCGGUCGUGGCGGAGGAGGACACGGAGCUGCGGGACCUGCUGGUGCAGACGCUGGAGAACAGCGGGGUCCUGAACCGCAUCAAGGCUGAACUCCGAGCAGCGGUGUUUUUAGCGCUAGAGGAGCAAGAAAAAGUAGAGAACAAAACUCCUUUAGUCAAUGAGAGCCUGAAAAAGUUUUUAAAUACGAAAGAUGGCCGGCUGGUGGCUAGUCUCGUUGCCGAAUUUCUUCAGUUUUUCAAUCUUGAUUUUACCUUGGCUGUUUUUCAACCUGAAACUAGCACAUUUCAGGGUCUCGAAGGUCGAGAGAAUUUAGCCCGAGAUUUAGGAAUUAUUGAAGCAGAAGGUACGGUGGGUGGACCCUUAUUAUUAGAAGUGAUCAGACGCUGUCAACAGAAAGAAAAAGGGCCAACCAGUGGGGAAGGUGCACUAGGUCCAUCUGAUGUACAUUCUCCACCGAAGUCACCAGAAGGAAAACCAAGUGCGCGCACUCCUCCCAGCAAGAUACCAAGGUAUAAAGGACAAGGUAAGAAGAAGCCAAGCAGGCGGAAGUCUGGUGCCAAGAAGGCCAGCAAUGACGCUAGUCAGAGUGAUACCAGUAUCUCAUCAUCAGAACCAAAGAGCAAAAGUAGUCUUCACUUAUUGGCCCAUGACACAAAAAUUGGAUCCUUGUUAAGCAACAAAAGUCUAGAUGUCAAAGACAAAGCUGGUCCUUGUCCAGAUGAAGAUGAUAUGGAAGGAGAUUCUUUCUUUGAUGAUCCCAUUCCUAAACCAGAAAAAACCUAUGGUUGGAGAAGUGAACCUAGUAAGCCAGUAGGAAGCCUUGCGUCGCUCUCGGACGCCCCGCCCUUAAAAAGUGGACUCAGCUCCCUUACUGGAGCUCCCUCGUUGAAAGACUCUGAAAGUAAAAGGGGAAACACAAUUUUGAAAGAUCUUAAAUUGGUCAGUGAUAAAAUUGGAUCCCUUGGUUUAGGGACUGGGGAAGAAGAUGCCUAUGUUGAUGAUUUUAAUAGUACCAGCCAUCGCUCAGAAAGAAGUGAGCUGAGUGUUGGUGAAGAGAUCGAGGAGGACCUCUCUGUGGAAAUGGAUGACGCCAACACCAGUGAUAAACUUGAUGACCUGACACAGGACCUAACUGUGUCCCAGCUCAGUGAUGUAGCGGAUUAUCUGGAAGAUGUUGCCUAGGCGAUGAAAGAAGGAAGUAUUCUAAUCGGCAAAGGACAAAGGACUCUGAUCAGUUCUUUUUUUUUUUUCCUGGACAAUCACUCUUUGCUGGAAUGUCUGCUCCCUAUUGGUGCCUUGUGUUUCGAAAAGAUUACAGAUAUUUUUUAAAAUUAACUUUUCAUUAUACUAAACAAAACACUCCUAUUUGAGACUAUGUGUGGAAGAUUCAAUAUUCUUAAUUUGGUUUAGCUACAUGCUUCUCUAUGGAAGUUGAUUACGCUCAAAUUCCCUACAAGGAGCGAGCCUGUGAAAUGCCGGUAUUAAGCGCGUAACGAGGGCGCCAGUGAAGCCGCAGGUUCCCAGAGCUCCGCGUGCGCGCCUGGGGGGCAGCCGCCUGGGGUCAGGCCCUUCGGCAGCAGGUGGUUCGUCUGCAGUCGGCGCGUUCGGCAGCGGGUGGUUCUGCAGGUAGCUGGCAGGUGGCCUGGAAAAUCUGCAGUCCUGAAGCCCGUCGCUGUUGCUGACAUUACUGACCCUGAAGUAUUAAAAAGAACAAUUGGAAGUGAUGCGUGCAUGUUCAUAUUGAUGUAAGUAAAGCUGUGAUUGUGUUAAAUUUUGUACUUUUUAAUUUCAGUUAAAUUAAAGCUUUUUAUUGUCACCUUUAUUAAUAAAAGGAGCAAAUUAGACCUAAUUCAUUGAUCUCAAGAAGUGAACAGACUUUGUGGUUUGUAUAAUGUUCGUUUUUCAUUGCAUACUAGUCUAAACAUUACAGAAAUAUUUACUAGGCUCCGAAAUGUAAAGGGAAAUGAUAAUGCAUGGAUCAAGGUUAUGUGACAUUAGAAUCGGAUUUUAUACAAUUCAAGUGAAGCUGAGCCAUAAACACCAAGAGGAAGCAGGACAGAAUGUGGGCCAGGGCAGCCUGGGAGCCGCUCUGCCAAGCUGCCCUCAGUGUGUGGGCCAUGAUCUCAGUCUCGGCCAGGCUUUUUGUUUCACGUGAGGAAAUAGCGCUGCAUGAAGAUGUAGUCUGUUGCUAAAAGCCCCCCAGUGUGCUCGCCGUAAAGUGUAUUUCCUUGGCUGUCAUCUCUGUAAGAAGUCGUUUUCUAUAAAGACUGUGGUUCUG